rnacentral:rRNA from 1 species
AUUGAACGCUGGCGGCAUGCCUAACACAUGCAAGUCGAACGAGUGGCGGACGGGUGAGUAAUGUCUGGGACACUGCCUUAUGGAGGGGGCUAACUACUGGAAACGGUAGCUAAUACCGCAUACCAUCAGAUGUGCCCAGAUGGGAUUAGCUAUUUGGUGGGGUAACGGCUCACCAAGGCCACGAUCCCUAGCUGGUCUGAGAGGAUGACCAGACACACUGGAACUGAGACACGGUCCAGACUCCUACGGGAGGCAGCAGUGGGGAAGAUGGCACAAUGGGCGCAAGCCUGAUGCAGCCAUGCCGCGUGUAUGAAGAAGGCCUUCGGGUUGUAAAGUACUGUCAGCGGGGAGGCGGUACCCGAAGAAGAAGCACCGGCUAACUACGUGCCAGCAGCCGCGGUAAUAC